rnacentral:rRNA from 1 species
GACCUACGGGACGCAGCAGUGAGGAAUAUUGGUCAAUGGGCGCAGGCCUGAACCAGCCAAGUCGCGUGAGGGAAGACUGCCCUAUGGGUUGUAAACCCCUUUUAUAAGGGAAGAAUAAUGACUACGUGUAGUCAGAUGCCCGUACCUUAUGAAUAAGCAUCGGCUAACUCCGUGCCAGCAGCCGCGGUAAUACGGAGGAUGCGAGCGUUAUCCGGAUUUAUUGGGUUUAAAGGGUGCGUAGGCGGUCGGAUAAGUUAGAGGUGAAAUCCCGAGGCUCAACUUCGGAAUUGCCUCUGAUACUGUUC